rnacentral:tRNA from 1 species
AAGGAUUUAAGUUAAAAAAAACUAUCAACCUUCAAAGUUGAAAAUAUAUAAAAAAAAAAAAAAUUUAAACCUUA